UACGUAGGGUGCGAGCGUUGUCCGGAAUUAUUGGGCGUAAAGAGCUUGUAGGCGGUUUGUCGCGUCUGCUGUGAAAAUCCGGGGCUCAACCCCGGACUUGCAGUGGGUACGGGCAGGCUAGAGUGUGGUAGGGGAGACUGGAAUUCCUGGUGUAGCGGUGGAAUGCGCAGAUAUCAGGAGGAACACCGAUGGCGAAGGCAGGUCUCUGGGCCACUACUGACGCUGAGAAGCGAAAGCAUGGGGGAGCGAACAGG
rnacentral:rRNA from 1 species